CUGCUGAACACCAAAGCUUCGCCGUACAGGACCUGCUAAUCUGGGAAACAAGCGAAAGGGGCUAUUGAGAUGGUCUGAGUAAUAAUCAAAGCCUGCAGCUAUGUGGCGCACAAAAUUGGCAGUCUCUGCAGAAAUGAAGAGAAGGAGGAACACCCAAUCCCCAUAUCAACUCAGAAGGAUGUAAUGAGCAGUGGAAAUGUGAUCCCAAAAGAAAAUGAGGUUGUGCAAAGGGAGACUGCCAAGAGAGAUGCCCCACAAUGUCGAUCUGGAGGCUGACGAAUGUAGAACCAGGCACUUGCCUGGGAGCUAAUAAAAUGCAAUGCCCAUUGUUAAUAUCACAGGAGAUGAGAAAACACUUGUGUCUCAUUACACCAACACACAAGUUUAGUUCAGCAAAAACAGCAAAACAUUAAAUAUGACCCUGUAAAGAAGAUUAGGAAAAAUGCCAUUUUGUUUUACUCAUCUUAUAUAUGAGCAGAAUAUAUUCAAGUCUGUAGAGUAAUGACAGGCAGAUUCAGUGACGAAUGGUGACAGCUUUAUAAACUUCCAUCACAGGGAGGUGAGGCUGUCGGAAACUAACCUGAUCUGUUAUGUCUGGAGCAAUAUAUACCUUUCUUGCAAAGUAUGUGCAAAUAAAGAAUUCUUGACUUAAAA